GACGAACGCUGGCGGCGUGCUUAACACAUGCAAGUCGAGCGGUAAGGCCCUUUCGGGGGUACGACGAGCGGCGAACGGGUGAGUAACACGUGGGUGACCUGCCCUCAGCUCUGGGAUAAGCCUGGGAAACCGGGUCUAAUACCGGAUAUGACUCCAUGACGCAUGUUGUGGGGUGGAAAGCCUUGUGCGGCUGAGGAUGGGCCCGCGGCCUAUCAGCUUGUUGGUGGGGUGAUGGCCUACCAAGGCGACGACGGGUAGCCGGCCUGAGAGGGCGACCGGCCACACUGGGGACUGAGAC
rnacentral:rRNA from 1 species